CAAAAUUAAUAUCUAAAUAUUAGAUAUUGAAAAUUCACAAUUUUUUACACAUCUAUCUACAUUAUAUAUAUAAAAAAAUGAAUAUAAAUUUUAAAUAUUUUAGAUUUUCUUUCAAAAAUAUCUCUUGUAUUCUCAAGAUACAGUACAACAGAAUUAGGUUAUAGGGACACAUGUUUGGGACACUUUUGAGUAAGUGUCCCAUUUAUACUAAAACUUAAAAAAACAUCUACUAAUGCCUAAAUAUAAAGCCCAAUCCAACCAAAAUAAAAAGAUUACUCUACUCAACCCACCACACCCAGUCCAUUUGGCCCGAUUAUAAACAGAAAAGAAAAAAAAAAAAAAUCAAUUACCAUAUUUUCUUCUCUCUUCACUCAAUCCGCUGAAAUUUUAGACGAAAAGCCAUUCCUGUCGUCCUCCUCCGCCACCGCAGCCAACGAGAUAAAGUUUCGGCGGUUGCUAAAUGCUUAAAUAAGUUGUUGGUAAAUUAACAGCACUUUUUUAGGUUAUAGCGACACUCUUUAACUGUCACUAUAUACCUAGCGACCCCACAUAUAGCAACACUUUUUAAAAGUGUCGGUAAUUUUAGCUAGCAGCACUUUUUUGACAUAAACCUAUAUUUUAAAGUGUCGUUAUAGAUCGUUUUUGUUGUAGUGAUAUAUCAAUACUUAAAGAAACCAAUUACUAACAGACACGACAUUAACUUUUUAAACAAAUCUAAAUUCUCAAAAUCGAACUUAACUAAUCGACUAUAAUUCUUUCUAUUCUUCUAUCGAAUUAGAUAAUUACAAUCAAAUAGAAUUUUUAACUUAAACAACGGGAGAAUCCUAAACUAUUUAAAUC
rnacentral:lncRNA from 1 species